rnacentral:rRNA from 1 species
UACAGAGGGUGCAAGCGUUAAUCGGAAUUACUGGGCGUAAAGCGUGUGUAGGUGGUUUGCUAAGUCAGAUGUGAAAUCCCUGGGCUCAACCUAGGAAUUGCAUUUGAUACUGGUAAUCUUGAGUGCGGUAGAGGAUGGUGGAAUUCCCGGUGUAGCGGUGAAAUGCGUAGAUAUCGGGAGGAACAUCAGUGGCGAAGGCGGCCAUCUGGACUGACACUGACACUGAGACACGAAAGCGUGGGGAGCAAACAGG